rnacentral:rRNA from 1 species
UACGUAGGGUCCGAGCGUUGUCCGGAAUGAUUGGGCGUAAAGCGUCCGCAGGUGGCUGUGUAAGUCUGCUGUCAAAGAGCAAAGCUCAACUUUGUAAAGGCAGUGGAAACUACACGGCUAGAGUGCGUUCGGGGCAGAGGGAAUUCCUGGUGUAGCGGUGAAAUGCGUAGAUAUCAAGAGGAACACCUGCGGCGAAGGCGGGUUGCUGGGCCGACACUGACGCUGGAGGCGCGAAAGCUAGGGGAGCGAACGGG